rnacentral:misc_RNA from 1 species
UCUGGAGAGAUGGCAUCUGUGGGUGUUUCCUGUGUCGGAGAGCAGAGUCAAGUUGUCAAGAGACGCCUGUAGUGUGUUUUUGGCAAGGUCUGAAGAGUGUUCACCAUCACUAGAUUUACAGCUCUACCGCCACCCAACUUCCACCUACCGUAGUCGACCUUCACUACACUCCUAUGGUAUAAGCAGUAGGAAGCUUAUGGUUGCUGCCCUCCAUCACAGCCAACAGGAAGAUUACAGUUGCUGCCAUCUACCAUAACCACCACCAACAGUAAGAUUAUAUCUGCUGCCUUCUACUUGCAGCUUAAAGAUUAUGGUUGCUGCCCUCCACAACAGCCACCACCAACAGUAAGAUUAUAGUUGUUGCCUUUCCCGACAAACAGAAAGAUUACGGUUCCAGCUUUCCACCACAGCCAUCACCAACAAUAAGGUUAUAGUGUCUGCAUUCCACCACCAACAGAAAGAUUAUGGUUGCUUUCCUCCACUACAGCCACCACCAACAGUAAUAUUAUGGUUACUACCCUCCACCACAGCCACCACCAACCAUGGGGUGUCCGACAUUCGCCAUUAUGAUGAUAGUCCUGUUUAGUAAUGUGGCAGGGUCAUCGCUACAAAGCUGUUCCACGUUCUCAUCCAUAAAUGAUGACGUUAAAAGCUACAACUGCUCUGAGUCGUGUCUGGCUUCGGCGAAGGUUCCUGCAGAGAAGAACAAGGAGCUGCCUGUAUUUGGAACUGUAUAUUAUCAUAAGGAGUCAGAUGUGUGCCUUGCUGCCUUACAUGCAGGAGCCGUCAGUACCCGGGGAGGACCUGUCACCUUCACCAGAGAUAAUACUGCUCAGAACAUCCGGGGCACCAUACAACACCGUGUUGUUUCACAAUCAAUGCCGCAAGAGAACUCUGAUGAUCAUACUACAUACAAGUUCCUGAACAUUACUCCAGUCAUCUCCCAGCAAGACCUGGCUGAGGAUGUGAUCAUUGUCCACAACUCGUACUCUGGGAACAGCGGCCAACUGGACCUCACCUGCUUGGCCAGCGACACCAACAGAAUGCUCACUAAGGAGGAUAUUUUAUCCUGGCGCUAUGAAAAGCCUAAUUUUGAUUUAAAAAUCUUUCAGGAGAAGUUUACAGAAAGUGGCAAGUGUGUAUUCCCGUAUAACUAUAAGGGAGAGGAAUACUGGGAGUGCUAUGACAUAACGAGUACCCGCCCGUGGUGCUACACGGAUCCUACAUCCAGCAACUGGGACUACUGCACAAAAACCAAAGGAAGAUGGACUAUUAACCAGAAGUCACCAAGAGGAGUCAAUGUACGAGCUGUAAGAUGCCUGGGAAGGAGUUCUGCUACAGAUGUUCUGGCCGUUGUGCAAGUCCCACACCAGUUAUACAAGUCUCUCACAAGCACCAUUCGCGCCAGUCUUGGAGACCACUUGAGUGUUCCCACCAUCAAGUCCAAGGAUCUUCCCCUUGAAGUGUUCAUCCGCAGACUUCCAGAUGGAUGGGUGUAUGAGGAUGGGACCACUGCUAAUGUUUCCCUUCCCUUGAUAUUUGACCCGGUCACACUUGGGGACGCUGGAAUAUACAUCCUUGGUAAUGAUGGCACAUCUCUGGAAUCGAAAACCUUUAAGAAUGCCAAGACUAAGGUUGAAAAUAAUGGUGCUUAUUUACAUCUAAUUGUUCGAGAGUGUGAGAGUGACCGUUAUGGACCUCAGUGCCAGUCUUGGUGCCCUGACUGUCAAAAUGGUGGCAUAUGUCAUGCUGUGACUGGCACUUGUGUCUGUGCUCCAGGCUACAGUGGUCCCACCUGCCAACAUGCGUGUCCCCGAGGCAGCUUCGGGAGCUCGUGUCAGUUUACAUGCCAGAAGACCACUCUUGGCUUCAGUCCAGCAACUGAGGGUCAGUGUGAGAGCUUGACCAUAUGUCUGCCUGAACCCUAUGGCUGCUCCUGUGCUCCCGGUUACACCGGCCCCUUCUGUGACCAAGAGUGUCCAGCAGGAAAGUACGGUGCUGGCUGCUCCCACGACUGUGACUACUGUGAGAACAACCACUGUGACUCUGUCAGUGGAUCCUGCACUCGUGGCUGCAAAAAUGAAGCACAUUGUACCGGUGGGAUGCCUCUGGACCUGCCUCGCCUGCGGACUCCUCCGUCUCUCACUGACGUAACAAACACCUCAGUUGUUGUGAACUUCUCCACCUGGACGAGGGAGGAUGAUGAUGGGUCGGAGGCGGUUGGUAUUGUGAGUUACCUGCUUCAGUUGCGGAGGGAAGAUGACGACACUUGGACCACGCUGAAGACUGUGUCAAACAGCUCUGUGUCAGGCCAGACUAAAAGUAUAUUGAACUUGACGGUAGAACACCUGAGUCCAGGUUACCAGUAUACGCUGAGGGUGUUGGUCAAUACUUCACGCGGCGCUGCAGACGGCUCAACCAACAAGAGGGUUCACCAUGUCACAUUUGUUACUCAGUGUUCUGCUCCAAGACUUGAUGAUCUUCGCGUAUUAAACGUCACCAACCAGUCUGCUGUUGUCACCUGGACAGACAAUGGGAACCAUGAGCGGUGUGGGAUACAGUAUGAGGUGAAGCUGACGUCCACCACCCCCACUACAGAAAUACUCAGUCCUCCGACCACAAGACAACCGUCUCACCACCUCAGUGGCUUGGCGCCGGACACAAGAUAUAAGGUUAUCAUCACCGCCAGAUACAGUGGCACACAAGUGAUAACCGCAUCAUAUGGGCCGUUCUCUACACUUCCAAAUGCACCCACGAUGGCCACUGUGAGUGUGGGUGCGGGUAGUGUGGGUUCCCUCACUGUAUCCUGGACGCUUCCUCCCGGGUCCAGUCGUGCACAUUACUUUAACAUAAAGUAUAAGUUACUUGAACACAAGGCUUGUGGCAGCCCGGACGGAGGGCAACAAGGUGUCAUGCAUGAGGGGCGACGUACAUCAACUAAUGGGAGCAGUAUUGUACUGGAAGGUCUGGAGAGUUAUGCUGAGUAUGAAGUGUGUGUCACAGGCAGUAACAGAGGUGGGACGAGCCAGGCGGCCUGCUCCACGGCUGUUACACUCUCCUCUAAUCCAAGUGUUGGUGUGGAGAAGUUUUCCUGCAAGCAAACUAACAACGUCACCACAACAUGCACAGCUGAUCUUACCGGGUGUGACACAUACAAUGGACCAGAUGUACAUGUUAAUGUUAGUCUGGGAACUUACUUGCAGUGUUCGAACACAACUCUGGAGUUUCAUAAACUAUCGAAUAUAUCAGGUGGAAAAUGUGUUGCUGAGUUUAUGAAUUUGACGGGUGGGAUGACCUUUGUGGCGACACUCUCCAUCACCAAUAAUGUUAGCCGGAAGGUGCCUGUGAAGACUACCGUUAACUUUACUACUACAGAAGAAAAACCACCUGAAGUCAGAAACUUUACAGUAAACUCCUUGUCAUCAAAUAAGGUUCGUCUUCUGUGGAAUGAUCCAUGUCCAUCAAAUGGAGUAAUAACUGGUUUUAUGUACAAGGAAGCAUCACAGAAGACUUGGACAACCAUUGGCACAACAGCAUGUAGUGAAGGGUAUGACCGCUGUGUUGAUGUAGACGGCUUGCGAGCCAACACCAACUAUACAUUCUGGGUUUCAGCCGUCAACAGUGCUAGGAGAGGCCGGAGACAGGAGAUCUGGAUGAUAACCAUGGAAACAAAGCCGGGACCCCCACAGCAACUUGAUGUGGUUCCUCAUGAUAGCAGUUUAGACUUACAACUCUGGCAACCGCACCUGUGUGGCGGGAGAUUACACAAUUUCACCAUACAACUGAAGAACAAGACAAUCCUUGUAGACAACUGCACCAAGGAUGCUCCUGACCCUACUUGCUCCAAAGAUGCGAAGACAAUACCUGCUGAACGUCUUACCUGCCAGAUGUCAAAGUUGAAGCCAGGAAGACGGUACGAAGCUGAGGCUUUCUUCUGUAACGCUGCAGGAUGUGGCAAGCCCUUUGUCAAAACUGUAGCCACUCUGCCCAUUCCUCCCAAGCUGAGCGGCAAGUUUCAAGUGAAGUCCAAGACCAACACCACCGUUACCCUUGCUCUUCCCACCUUUACCAUGGAAGGUGAUGGUGACAGAUCUGUGGCAAUUUUGGUGUCUCGGCUCUCCGAGGACGCACAAGAUGUGGCCGAGACCUUUACUGCCACGUAUAUAAAGCUUGUUGCAGAGGGUAUAAGCCAGAAUAGGUCAGCUUCAGGUGGGGAGCGGGUGAGGCGGCAGGCAGGCGACCACCACUGCGAGGACACUAACCGGACAUACAUAGCUGCCGUGUUAACACAGGCUGCUGAAGAAUUUGCUGAAAAAUUUGUGGUUGGAGAGAUGACUAACGGCGGCCCUUACCCCAACUGCCCGCUGAAACCCGCUCACCCUUAUAUAAUGGCUGUUGUGGCUAGGGUGCAGCUCGAAGGUAGAAGUGCGUAUGCAGAGAUGAAAUUGGAUGAGAAAGUAGUGCCUGAGUGGGAUGGUUAUGUUCUUCCUAUAGUUUCCUCCGUCUUGGGUCUUCUCCUCCUUAUCCUCAUCAUCACAAUCAUCAUAAUUUUCAGACGCCACAAAACGCUGCAUAGGAAAGUUGGAGCCAAGUAUUGGAAAGAUAGACACAGGACAGAGGUCUAUGAUAAUGGAAGAGCUGUGCAAGACCUGUCUAACCACAACACUCUACCCCUUCUUGACAUCCCAAUCACAUCUCAGAGUCAACCAAACUUGCCAUCACAGCCGAGGAACGUGCCUGCUCCUCCAGAUCCAGCGCCUCCUCCUCCUCCUCCUCCUCUGAUUCCGGACGCAAUUCCACCAGCAGUUGAGGAGGAAAAUGUUUAUGAAAACAUUUACAAGAAUAACUUCCAAGAGGACAUAUACUGCAACUUCAGCCGACGUGUGGCUUUUGAUGACGUUGAAGCCUAUCUCAACAAGGCCAUUGGUGCUCAUGACACCUCGGAGGACUUCAUGUCUGUCCCGUCCAAUGUUGGCAAGUCUAUGUCUGUCGGAGAACAUCUUGAGAACAAGAAGAAGAACCGCUACCGGAAUAACCUUCCUUAUGACGAGACGCGGGUGGAGCUCUCCGUCAUUAACAACGACCCGUUCUCUAAUUACAUCAACGCAAACCACGUCUACGGGUUUGGAGGUGUUCUGAAGUACGUAGCCUCGCAAGGCCCCAAGGAGGCUAAUGUGAGCACCCUCGGCGACUUCUGGAGGAUGAUAUGUGAACAUCACAUCUACGUCAUUAUAAUGGUGGCUAACUUUGAGGAGGGCGGGAAGAAAAAAGUGGGCAAAUACCUGGAUUUUGGAGGAGCCCUGAUGAUUGAUGACUACAAAGUGGAAGUUAUUAAGACAGAUCAUCACCCUAAUUACAACGUGUCUCUUGUUCAGGUGUGGAAGAAUGGAAUUGCUCACACAGUGACCCACUACCACUACUUGAGCUGGCCGGACCACGGCGUGCCCACCGAGGCCCACAGUCUGGCCACCAUGCUCCGGCAGGUCAUCCACACGCAUUCUGAAGGUGGUGUAGUUGUGCACUGUUCGGCUGGGAUAGGACGCACAGGCACUGUUUUGCUGGUGCUGCUCUUACACGAGAUGUUGAUGGUCCAGGGCAGUAUGGACCCACUAGAAGUGUUGCAGAGACUUCGUGAUUGUCGAGCUCGUCUAGUAGAGAACGUUGCUCAGUACAACCUCGGUCUUCAAAUAUUUGAUGAGCUUCUAUAUGGAGAUAACACUGUCAUUCCCUCGGUCAGUGCACACGAUCAGAUGAAGGAAUUCAUGAGGACAAGUCAUGAUCUUUACCAGAAGGCUUUGGCCCUGCCGUCUGCCCUCACUUUCAGAGUGUCAUCUCAAGGUGAAUAUUAUCCGCUAAACCGCAACCCAGCUGUUGUACCAGCAGAUACUCGAAGGAUCUUCUUGGAGAUGGAAGGUGGUGAGAUGCUUUCCCAGUAUAUUAAUGCAGUGAGACUGGACGGUCUGGAUGAACCCAACACCAUGAUAGCGACAGAGCAUCCUCUUCCCUCCAUGCUCAACAAGUUCUGGAAGCUUGUGGUCGAGAAGAAAUGUCCAAGUAUUAUUCUCAUCAACACAUUUGAUGGAUAUGAAAAGGAGUUUCCGUGUGUGUUGCCUGGACCCGACUGUGACCUACAGGUGGGCCGCUACACCGUCCGCACGCUCCAUGUGACGCCCUACAAGUCGUUUGACCUCUACUCUAUUGAGGUGUUCUCCCAGCAGAAUGUACACCAGACAGUGAGCGUGUACCAGCUUACGUCGUGGCCGUACGGGACCCAAGUGCCUCCCUCGCCCCAAGUCCUGGUCGCAGUGUCAGAGAUGCUGCUGCAGUCUCCCCGCUCUCCCGAGGCUGGUCCUCUCCUCCUGUCUUGUGGUGACGGGGUGACGGGGUGUGGACUCUUGGCUGGCGCCCUCUUGACUAUAGAGAACCUUCAGAAAUCUGACAAGAUUGAUGUUUAUCGCACUGUUGUGAAACUUCGUCGGGCUCGACCACAGUUCUUUGUCUCUCAGGACCAGUUUGAGCUGCUCUACAGUGCCGCUGUUGUGUACCUGGAGAAUUAUGACACGUAUGUGAACUUUCCAGUUUGAACCACUGAAGGAGGAAGACUGCGUGAUGGUGCUCUGCCUGCAAGUUACACAUUUGGGGACAUGCUGUGUGUUAUGUAGACUUUGUAGUGCUGUGUGUACACCGUGGAAAACUUGUAACUGUUUUAUAGUAAAUGUAGAUCUUGUAGCAUUUAUUAUCUAGAAGAUUUGUGGUGUAUGUUUUGUGUACUCGACAGGCUAUUAAACUUGAUUUUUGUUUUAAUAUUGUAGAUUUUGUAGCACAUUAUGUGAAAGAUUGCUUGUUGGUGGUCUACAUAUUUUGAAGGAUAUUUUAAUUUUAAAAGGUUUUUGGUAAUAGAAAUUUUGUAGCACUUAAGAUAUUCAUAAGAUAUAAGAUAUUUAUUGUUACCAGUGUUUUAUACAAAUGUAGAUUUUGUAGCACUUAAGGUGCAUAAGACUUGGUGUACCAGUGUUUUAUACAAGUGUAGAUUUUGUAGCACCAAUGAUAAUACUCUGUAUACAGUAAGAGAGGAUUAUUAAGCUUGAAAACAUUGCUAGUAAUGUCCAUUUUGUGGUACUGUGAAUGUAGAAAAGUGUUGAGGAACGCUUCCACCUGAUCCACAAUAACGAAACUGAAGUGUGGAAUGUUGAUGAGGCGGUGAUGUGCCCAGGUGAGGAGGGGCUGGAUGCACAGGCUCAGGAUGAAGCGGUGAUGUGCUCAGGUGAUGAGAGGCUGGAUGGCCGGGCUCAGGAUGAAGCAGUGAUGUGCCCAGGUGACGAGGGGCUGGAUGACCGGGCUCAGGAUGAAGCAGUGAUGUGCCCAGGUGACGAGGGGCUGGAUGACCGGGCUCAGGAUGAAGCAGUGAUGUGCCCAGGUGACGAGGGGCUGGAUGACCGGGCUCAGGAUGAAGCAGUGAUGUGCCCAGGUGACGAGGGGCUGGAUGACCGGGCUCAGGAUGAAGCAGUGAUGUGCCCAGGUGACGAAGGGCUGGAUGCACGAGCUCCGUAUACAGCAGCUCGACAACCUUCACUCGCCCACUAAACUAGCUGCAUGUUGUACACUAGUUUAGGUUUGAUUCUUCAUUGUAUUAUGUCGUUUUUAGUAACCAAUGUGAGAGAUGUGUUUAAUUUACAUUUGUGAUUGUGUUUUUGUGCGAUGUUGUGCCUGAUGGUCGUGGGAGAUGGGGUGUGUUAUGCAGUUAUCCUCGUGAUAGACCACAGCCAGCUGGCUCCAACUGCCACAAGUGUUGUUUCAGUCAAAGUAAUCACUAGAUACUUUCACCCGUGCAUUUCGUGGCCUUGUUGACUGUGGUGGGAAGGCGAGAGGGCUGUAAUUGACUCAGUGUGUGACCAGACAUUUGAGCACAAGUGAACACAGAGCCGGUGUGAGUGCGACGCGGACAUUUUCACAACAGGCUGUGAGGAUAUUCUUUCAUUUUUGUGUAUUUCCUUGACUGCAAUUAUUGCUAUAAGUUUUCAUCAGGUGUUUAACAUUCUUGCUUUAACUAAAGUUCUAAUAAUUGUGUGUGUGUGUUGUAUUUCUAGUUUCUCAAUAAUAAUCUUAGAAAUGAAAUUUUA